rfam:Gossypium raimondii chromosome 9, whole genome shotgun sequence.
AUUCCAUGAUGAGGGCACUUUCAUAAUAAUUCUUUGUACCUUUCCCAUGCCUCAUACAAGGACUCACGUUCCAUCUAUUGGAAAGUAGUGAUCUCAUUCCUCAACUU